rnacentral:rRNA from 1 species
UACAGAGGUCCCGAGCGUUGUUCGGAUUCAUUGGGCGUAAAGGGUGCGCAGGCGGCCGUGUGUGUGAGGCGUGAAAGCCCGGGGCUUAACCCCGGAAUUGCACCUCAAACUACAUGGCUAGAGCAUUGGAGAGGGUAGCGGAAUUCACGGUGUAGCAGUGAAAUGCGUAGAUAUCGUGAGGAACACCAGAGGCGAAGGCGGCUACCUGGACAAUUGCUGACGCUCAGGCACGAAAGCGUGGGGAGCAAAAGGG